ACGGUGCAGGUUUCCUGGUGACGACGCGGACAUAAGCGCUGAGGGGGCCCACCUCCUUCCCCAACACAUUUUCCACCUCGUAACCUGGGAACUGCAGCACAUGAACAAUCAACCUAACCAUGGAUCUAUAGGCAUAGGACCUGAGCCCUAGGACCAUACGUCAGGGCUGCCGGGCAUGAUGGCUCCUUGCUGUCCCCAGUCCACCUGGCCUUGCUGCUAUUCCAGUUUCAACUGUUCUGCCUGCGGUUAUGGAACCGCCACCUGUCCCAGACCUGCUGUUUUCAACUCUUAAUGAUCGGCUAUGAAAAGCCAACUGAAAAUUAUUCAUGAUUAUUAUUUGACCAUGCUUGUCACUUAUGAACAUUUUGAACAUCUUGGCAUAGUUCUGUUAUAAUCUCCACCCGGCACAGCCAGAAGAGGACUGGCCACCCCUCAUAGCCUGGUUCCUCUCUAGGUUUCUUCCUAGGUUUUGGCCUUUCUAGGGAGUUUUUCCUAGCCACCGUGCUUCUACACCUGCAUUGCUUGCUGUUUGGGGUUUAAGGCUGGGUUUCUGUACAGCACUUCGAGAUAUUAGUUGAUGUACGAAGGGCUAUAUAAAAUAAACUUGAUUGAUUGAUUGAGGUAAGUGCUGUCUGCAUAAAAAGGCAGGUACAGCGUAUUACAUAACAUGUGAGAGAGAGAGAGCUCACCUCAUGGCCAGAGGCUGCACAGUUCAACACAGACAUGAUGGUGCUCUGCUGGAGCUAGAAAACAGUAGAGAGAAUAGUCACCAUACUAGUUGAAUAAAUGGUCUGGACUGGACUGUCAAACUAGA